rnacentral:ncRNA from 1 species
GGGUGUCGUGCUCUUCCUUGCACGACAGGAUUCACGCGCAGGUCGGGCCGCCGCG